GCUAGCUACAGGCUUAACACAUGCAAGUCGAGGGGCAGCAUGGUCUUAGCUUGCUAAGGCCGAUGGCGACCGGCGCACGGGUGAGUAAUACGUAUCCAACCUGCCGUCUACUCUUGGACAGCCUUCUGAAAGGAAGAUUAAUACAAGAUGGCAUCAUGAGUCCGCAUGUUCACAUGAUUAAAGGUAUUCCGGUAGACGAUGGGGAUGCGUUCCAUUAGAUAGUAGGCGGGGUAACGGCCCACCUAGUCUUCGAUGGAUAGGGGUUCUGAGAGGAAGGUCCCCCACAUUGGAACUGAGACACGGUCCAAACUCCUACGGGAGGCAGCAGUGAGGAAUAUUGGUCAAUGGGCGAGAGCCUGAACCAGCCAAGUAGCGUGAAGGAUGACUGCCCUAUGGGUUGUAAACUUCUUUUAUAAAGGAAUAAAGUCGGGUAUGGAUACCCGUUUGCAUGUACUUUAUGAAUAAGGAUCGGCUAACUCCGUGCCAGCAGCCGCGGUAAUACGGAGGAUCCGAGCGUUAUCCGGAUUUAUUGGGUUUAAAGGGAGCGUAUAUGGAUAUUUAAGUCAGUUGUGAAAGUUUGCGGCUCAACCGUAAAAUUGCAGUUGAUACUGGAUAUCUUGAGUGCAGUUGAGGCAGGCGGAAUUCGUGGUGUAGCGGUGAAAUGCUUACAUAUCACGAAGAACUCCGAUUGCGAAGGCAGCCUGCUAAGCUGCAACUGACAUUGAGGCUCGAAAGUGUGGGUAUCAAACAGGAUUAGAUACCCUGGUAGUCCACACGGUAAACGAUGAAUACUCGCUGUUUGCGAUAUACUGCAAGCGGCCAAGCGAAAGCGUUAAGUAUUCCACCUGGGGAGUACGCCGGCAACGGUGAAACUCAAAGGAAUUGACGGGGGCCCGCACAAGCGGAGGAACAUGUGGUUUAAUUCGAUGAUACGCGAGGAACCUUACCCGGGCUUAAAUUGCAGAUGAAUUACGGUGAAAGCCGUAAGCCGCAAGGCAUCUGUGAAGGUGCUGCAUGGUUGUCGUCAGCUCGUGCCGUGAGGUGUCGGCUUAAGUGCCAUAACGAGCGCAACCCUUGUUGUCAGUUACUAACAGGUUCCGCUGAGGACUCUGACAAGACUGCCAUCGUAAGAUGUGAGGAAGGUGGGUAUGACGUCAAAUCAGCACGGCCCUUACGUCCGGGGCUACACACGUGUUACAAUGGGGGGUACAGAGGGCCGCUACCACGCGAGUGGAUGCCAAUCCUCAAAACCUCUCUCAGUUCGGACUGGAGUCUGCAACCCGACUCCACGAAGCUGGAUUCGCUAGUAAUCGCGCAUCAGCCACGGCGCGGUGAAUACGUUCCCGGGCCUUGUACACACCGCCCGUCAAGCCAUGGGAGCCGGGGGUACCUGAAGUGCGUAACCGCGAGGAGCGCCCUAGGGUAAAACUGGUGAA
rnacentral:rRNA from 1 species